UUGUUUUUGUUGUGAAAAAAUCACUAAAAAUUCUUGUUAUUAAUAUUAUUAUUAUUAUCGCAUAUUUGUUUGUAAUUUAUGUGUGUUUUGAGUUUACUUUUAAUUAACUAUUUUAAUAUGCGUUAAUACGUCUUAUGCAGUGUAUGAUGCCGACUCAGCUGAGCGCUUGUAAUCGACGACAUGCAAUAAGAUCGUCACAAUUCCAUCGUAUAUAAUCUCGUGUUUCAGAAUAUGGAGAUUACAAAUUUUAAGUGAAAGUAAAUAAAAAAAAUCACUUUUCAAAAUUAUUGAAAGAAACAAUGGAACAAAAAUUAUGGAUAUGGAUAUGUAGUGUUUUAUUCCUCGUUACUAUAUGUAAUAGUGCUAGUCGCAAAAAAUAUGAUGAAACUAAAUGCCAUUAUUACAACCAAACUAUUUGUGACAAUUCUCAAAAUGAAAAAAGUUGUACAAGUGCUAUCCAGAAUUGUAAAGCCGGAGAAAAUGAUAAGCCAUCGUAUUGUUAUGCUGUUUGGACAAAUGAUACUAAGACAAAUAAAUUAGAAAUUAAGCUUAAGGGUUGUUUUUUAAAUAAUGUCGAAUGCCAAGGUCAAAACCAAUGCAAAGACAAAAAAGAAGAAAUCAAACCUAAUGGCUUAAUGUUUUGUUGUUGUGAAGGAGAUUAUUGUAAUUCUGAAAUUCUAUGGGAUCCUAUUCCGACAACUCCUCGAAUAGAAACAACGUCUGCAAAACCAUUACGUGAUGAUAAUGAAUUAAUACAUACUAUAGUGUUUUCUACAAUACCUUUGGUAGCUGUCGCAAGUAUGUUUUUAUUUGUUUAUUGGGUUUAUAAACGAAGAAAAAUACCUCAAUUUUCUCAUUGGGUUCCAUCAUCUGAUAGCUCUCACUUAGGGAAUUGUUCUCCUAUACUCAGCAAUCGUCCAAUACAAUUAGUUGAAGUAAAGGCAAGGGGCCGUUAUGGUGCAGUAUGGAAAGCUCUUCAUAAGAAAGAUACUGUAGCUGUUAAAAUAUUCCCUCCUCAAGAUAAAAACUCAUGGUUAGUAGAACAAGACAUUUAUCAAUUACCACAUAUGCAACAUGAUAAUAUGCUAUCUUUCAUUGGGGCUGAAAAACAUGCUAGUGUUAUUGAAGGUGCCAAGAAUGAAUAUUGGUUGAUUACUGCUUACCAUGAUUAUGGAUCAUUAUGUGACUACUUAAAAUCUAAUAUAUUAACUUGGGAUCAGCUCUGUCAUAUUGCUCAAUCUAUGGCAAGAGGUUUGAUGCAUUUACAUGAAGAAAUACCAUCAGAACGUUCAGAUCAAUAUAAACCAGCCAUUGCUCAUAGAGAUUUUAAAAGCAACAAUGUUCUAUUAAAACAUGAUUUAACUGCGUGUAUUGCUGAUUUUGGUCUUGCUUUAGUUUUUCAACCUGGAAAAUCGUGUGGUGAUACACAUGGUCAGGUUGGCACAAGAAGAUAUAUGGCACCAGAAGUUCUUGAAGGAGCAAUCAAUUUUUCAAGAGAUGCAUUUUUAAGAAUUGACAUGUAUGCAUGUGGAUUAGUAUUAUGGGAAUUAGCAACUAGAUGUACAGCACAACAAGGACCUAUACCAGAUUACAGGUUGCCUUUUGAAGAAGAAGUUGGACAACAUCCAUCAUUAGAGGAUAUGCAAGAAUGUGUAGUACAUAAAAAAUUAAGACCCGCUUUUAAAGAUAGUUGGAAAUCACAUCCAGGUUUAAUAGCUCUAUGUGAUACAAUGGAAGAAUGUUGGGAUCAUGAUGCUGAAGCUAGAUUAUCAGCAUCGUGUGUAAUGGAACGUAUUACAUGGCAAUGUCGCCAAUAUAAUGGAACAACAGUAACAACAUUAGCACCAUAAAAUAUUUUAUUUGUACUAUAGCAUAAUAUACAUCAGCAACCUAGCUUCUGCAGGAGAAAACAUGGGUUUUUCCUUUUAUAUAUUAUAUAAGCAGGGCCGACCAACAGAAGCUAUGGGUGAUACAAGGACUCGUCCAGGGUGUCGCUUAUAGAGAGCCUCCAAAUUCAAAAAAAUAUAUUUAUUUUACAUUAUUUUAAGAUUUAUUAAAAUACAUUUUUACAUUUUAAUAACCUUUAGUAAAAAUUCAUACUUAAACAUUGUGAAUGAUUAGUGUUAUAUACAUGAACUUUUAAGUUAUAACAAUAAUAGUAAUAAUUUAAAGAUAUUAUAUAUCAAGCUAUUAGUUAUGAUAUUUGAUAGAUACUUUGAACUUACUGGUCUUGGUAAAAAAACAUUACAAUAUAGGUACUUAUCAAUUACCUUAAAUAUAUAAAGUAAAAUUAAUGUUUAAAAUUAUAGUUAGUUUUAGAAAAAAUAAAUUUUAGUUCAAAAUGAUUUAAAUUAUUAUUUAUUUGUACUUUAAGUCCUGGUAUGUAUUAAAUCCUAAAAUUGAUAAUAAUAAAAAAAAAAUCUUAAAUGCUUAAUAUUGUAAAUAAAAUAAAUAUAAAUAAUUAAAGAAAUGAGAAAUAAAAUCGUUCAUUAACUAAAGUUAAUUAUUCUUAUAAACAUUUAUCAUAUUAGAAGAUUGAUUCGGGACAAAGGGGUCGGCCCUGUAUAUGAAUAUUGUAAAUUCAUAUUUAAUUAACUUGUUUCAACUUGAGAUUACAUUAUUUAAAUUACUUAAAAUUAAAGUAGUAUAAAGAUUUUAGAUUUUAUCUGUCAUUGUUGUUAAUUUUGUCAUUUCAUUUGGCUAUGGUUGUAAAAUUGUUUAAUUAUUUACAUAUAGGUACUAAUAUUGUAUAAAAUAGUUCCUUUAUUAUGAAUAAAUCUCUCUUCUUUUUUA